AUUGAACGCUGGCGGCGUGCUUAACACAUGCAAGUCGUGCGGUAACAGGCGUAGCAAUACGUGCUGACGAGCGGCGAACGGGUGCGUAAUACAUGGGAAUCUGCCUUUUAGUGGGGAAUAACCCGGCGAAAGCCGGGCUAAUGCCGCAUAAGAUCUUCGGAUGAAAGCGGGGAUCGUAGACUCGCGCUGAUAGAUGAGCCCACUGCCGGAUUAGUCGAGUUGGUGAGGUAACGGCUCACCAAGGCGACGAUCCGUAGCUGGUCUGAGAGGACGGCCAG
rnacentral:rRNA from 1 species